rnacentral:rRNA from 1 species
UGGGGAAUUUUGGACAAUGGGCGAAAGCCUGAUCCAGCAAUGCCGCGUGUGUGAAGAAGGCCUUCGGGUUGUAAAGCACUUUUGUCCGGAAAGAAAUCCUUGGCUCUAAUACAGUCGGGGGAUGACGGUACCGGAAGAAUAAGCACCGGCUAACUACGUGCCAGCAGCCGCGGUAAUACGUAGGGUGCAAGCGUUAAUCGGAAUUACUGGGCGUAAAGCGUGCGCAGGCGGUUUGCUAAGACCGAUGUGAAAUCCCCGGGCUCAACCUGGGAACUGCAUUGGUGACUGGCAGGCUAGAGUAUGGCAGAGGGGGGUAGAAUUCCACGUGUAGCAGUGAAAUGCGUAGAGAUGUGGAGGAAUACCGAUGGCGAAGGCAGCCCCCUGGGCCAAUACUGACGCUCAUGCACGAAAGCGUGGGGAGCAAACAGGAUUAGAUACCCUGGUAGUCCACGCCCUAAAACGAUGUCAACUAGUUGUUGGGGAUUCAUUUCCUUAGUAACGUAGCUAAACGCGUGAAGUUGACCGCCUGGGGGAGUACGGUCGCAAGAUUAAAACUUAAAGGAAUUGACGGGGUCAUAGCUGUUUCCU